CUUAUUUAUCCUCUCCUGAAGAAUUAUAUAUACUCCAUCCCCUUGCCUGCAAAAACCCUGUUCUCAUGCCGAUCCAAUUCAUAUCGAUAUGCUUGUUAGGCCUAUAUAGUUGUUAUUUUCAGCAUGUAGCGUUCCUAUGUGUUUACAUGAAAAGAGAAUGCUGGGAUGAAAUGGACAAUGGCACAUCAGAUCUUAGGUUUGGUUUUUUUUUUUUCCUUACAACUAGAAGGUGCCAGUGGGAGCCUCUCAAAUCUCGAAAUGAUCCCUCGGAUUUAGUGAUUUUUUCAUUUAAGUCUUAAUAUUCUACAUAUAACGUCCAUUUUGAAUAGAAACAAAGGCUAUAUUGUAAUCCAUAUUCUAUUACUUAUGUGUAUAUUUUUUUGAAUGUGUGAACAAUUUUGGCAUUUCAAUAUAUUCUUCCAUUAGUGAGAUCUUAGCACAAACAUGAAAAAGAAAAAAGAAAAAAAACCUUCGUUUUUGUCCAAAUUAGCUUCUCUGAAAGGAUUCAAAGCCUUUUUUAGGAGACAAAACUCUAAUGAAUAAGAGCUCGAAACAACAACCCUGAUCUAGAAAAUCCAAACCUAAAACUAUGUUUCUCAAAGAUGUCAAGUGCACAUGAAUUUGUGAUUUAGUUUCGAGAUUUAGCAGACCUUGAUAAUGAUUCCAUUUGUGCUGUAUCUCUAUACCGUUGUUGGGGCCUUUUCUUCUAACAUUAACGUUAA